UUUUUUUCAAAAAUACAGGUUGCUUUUAUGUAUCAUAGGUUGGUAAUAAACAUUUCAUUGUACCAGUUAUGUAAAUUAUAAAUUUGAGGUACAUCAUUUAAGCAGGAUUAAUUCAUGCCUGAGUUACUCAUUAAUGCCAUGGUUAAAAUUAUAUACUUAAAUGUACUCAGAACUCUAGAGAGCACCAUUCUUUGUUUGCAUGCACAAGAAAAUACAUAUAAACUAAUCUAAUCAAGGGUUAUUUAUAGUUCUAAUUGUCAAGUAGGUCUUAUCAACAUGAUUUUUGUCAGGUACCACUUUAUAAAUUCAUUCUAGUUUCUAAAUACCUCUUUCGUUGUUGUUAAAUUGGUUUAACAUAGGCUCAUACCUUAUUUAGUCUUUCUGUGCUAUUUAUCAUAUCUUCUAGCAAAAAGUCCAAAAAAAAAAAAAAAAAGAGAAUAAUCCACAUAUUAGAAUCACAUUAUUUUGUUUUGGAUCCUGGAAAACAUUCAUUAUAGAAAUAUUCAUUCACCCUGGCUCCCUCAUUUCCUACCUGGAACAUUGGAAAAGGCACUUAACUUCUCUGUACCUCAGUUACCUCACAAAAAAUGAAGCUAAUAAAAGCAGCUCACUAACAAAGUUCUAUGGUAAGGGUAAAAUUAGUCAGCAUAUGUAAAAUAAAGCAAGCAUUAUGUUAGGUGCUGCUACCAUCACUCUUAAUUCCUAUGUGACAUAGAUAUUCCUCAAAAGACAAAAUUAUAUCUAGUACCUCUCUAUAUAGAUACUGUGUAACCUUUUGAUGUCUUAUCACCUCCUACCAGAAAAGAGUAAAAAUGUAAAUUCCAUGGUAAUAAUGUCACAAAUUAAUACUAAGCCUGGACUAUACAUAAAUACCUUAAAAAUGAUAAAAUUCAGCCCAGCAAUCUGAAUAUAAUACACUAUGGGAAGCAUGUUUGUAUUACAGUUAAAAUGUAAGAAAACACACACACACACACACAAAACAAAAAUGAAACCUAUGAUGUGUUGCUUAACAUUUGAUGGAUUCCAUCUUGGGUGACUUAUUUUAACUUUGGAUGAAACAUGGGGUCUAAUUUCAAAUCUAGUCAUUGAAAAAAAUCUUAGUAGGACUUUAAUCAGGUUUAAGUUAUGAUAGUAGCCAUGGAAAGUGAGGAUGUAAACACAUUCUGACAGAAUAGAAACAUGAGAUUAUUCCUUUUAAGAGAAUUGCAUCUCUUUCCCUUAAAGGACAUUAAAAACUUCAACAAUUAUUUCUUUAGGAGGCAUUACUCUCCCCACAACUCCAUCACAGUUUUCCUUUAGACAAGUUCACAUUCCACUUUUUACAGGGACAUUUAUCUCUGUAAAAAAUAUGGGAUAUGUUAUGGCACUGUUGUUACACUGGACAGAUCAGCUCCUUGAAAGGGUCAAUGAUUUUCCUGUCAGACAUAAUUAUACACAGAGAGAUACAGGGAUCCGAGAAUGUAUGUCACAAGCAGAUAAUCUUUGCUUUGGGAGAAUCUUCAGGAGGCAAAGAGAUCUGAAUGCUUAUGGGGUAGAUCAAGUAGUAAGCUGAGACAAGGAGAAUCAGAGGUCUGGUGGGCCAUGGCUGGAAUGGUUCUGUGAAGAAAGCGUAGAAGAGACAGUGGAUAGAGAAGCAAUAGACAGGAGAGAAGAACACAGAUAAGCAAAGGUAAAAAACAACACACAGAGAAUCUUUAAGACAACUCAGAGUAUCAAUAACAUAAGAUUUUACACUUCUAUGAAAUAUACGCUAUGAUUCAUAACCUCAGAAAAUUAAACACUGGAAUGUUUCAUUCCUCUUCUGCAGGUAAUUAAAUACUGUGAAAUUAUUUGUAUCCUCUAUCCAUACAUUUGCCAUUGCUCUAUUGAAUAGAAGUGGUCUUACUUUUAAUGAACAUCUUAUGUUAAAAUGAUCACUUAUCCUCAUACUAUCUUGAUACAUAGCUUAAAAAUAAAAAAAAAAGAUAUAGAAGAACUGACUUUAUGAAAACAAAAUGAAUAAAAAGAACUAAUGAGGAGUUCCCAUCGAUGAUGGCUUUUAAUUUGCUUAAUAUACCAGAGCAGAGGAAUACUGUUAUUCAAAUUCAAAAUAGUUCUUCAGAAAUCUAGGUCUUGUUUACAAUCUUCCAUUUUCUACAUGUGGAUUGUGUUAUUAGUUUUUGACUAAGAGCCUGGUAGCUAAUACAUAAGAAAGCACUCAAUAAAUCACUGAUGAAGAAAUGGAAAGCUAAUUAGUCUUCUUGGAGUUCACAAGGAAAUAAACCCAACAUCAGCUAAUGACAGUUCUAUAGGUAUUUCAUAUUGUGGCUGUCAACUCUGACUAAAUACUAGGACACUUGGUAGAAGUUUUGGUAAAAUAUCAGUGAUGAAAAAGCCACAGACAAAUUCUGAAAUGGAAGAUCUAACUUAGAAGUGAAGGCAUCUAUAUUUUUACCUAUAUAAUCGAUGAUUCUAAAAUAUUGCAAUUUGAGAACCACUUUCAUUGACAACCAUUUGUUCCUAGAUGAGGAUCUAGAUAGACAUGCCCCAUGAGUAUAGGAAUCUAUCAUUUAUUCCACCAUGUUCAAAAUACCUAUCUCUAAUUGGAGGCAGAUUCUGCCUCAUAUGAUCAGCAAUUACGUUUAGUAUAUGCACAUACUUAAAAUGGAAAAAAAUGUUACUGCACUAUUGUAGUAUAGAACUGUUCCAUAUUAUAAACUCUCAGUCUAGUUUUGUAAUAAUAUAUAAUUAACAUUCAUGAGUUCACCUUAAGUUCUUACAUCACACUGCUAUUUUGCUAACUCAUAAAUUAUAAAGAAUUUAGGAAAUAAAUUUACAGGAGCUAAAUCAAAGGUAAUCCUAUCAUUUCUAUCCCUCCCUCAAUUAGAUGUAGAAUUUGAUGUCAAAAUAUGUGAAACCAAAUGCAUUCUCUUCCUUCCCCAAUCCUCAACAAAAUAAUUAUGAAAGAAAAGAAAACCAUUUUCUAGUUUAGGGGAAGUAUAUUUACAACUUGCCAGCUUGUGCCACUGCUGCUGAAUCUCUCCCCAUACUUUAUUUUUCCAAGAUUUGAUCUCUAUGAUAUUUGAAGGCUCUUCCCUGCCUUUCUGAAUCUCCCCUUCUUUUCCAGUAUGUAUAGCAGCUACAUAGCAAUUCCUCCCUCUAUGUGAACAUCUGUUGGGAUUUAUGGCUUGCCCCAUUGCAUAUGUUCUACAGAACCAAAUCAGCCCUGGUCAACUCAGUCUCAGAGUAUUUCAAUCAGGCCACUACAUUUUAAAAUGCUUAAAAAAAAAAAAAAAAGCCAGAUACCACAUACUAAGUUUUAACAUUUCCAUCACAGAAAGCAUUUCAUUCCCUUCUAUUUCUAGUGCCUCAAUCAGAAUCUGUCAUCUAGUUGGCUAACAUCAAAUAUUUGUUGAAUAAGCAGAUAUAUUAAGAUGAUGGUUAGGGUACAAUAAAUACAGAGAACAUAUUAUUUGUUCUGAUUCAUAA
rnacentral:lncRNA from 1 species